AUAUUGGUCAAUGGGGGAAACCCUGAACCAGCAACGCCGCGUGAGGGAUGACGGCCUUCGGGUUGUAAACCUCUGUCCUCUGUGAAGAAAAUGACGGUACCGAAUGAAUAAGCCACGGCUAACUACGUGCCAGCAGCCGCGGUAAUACGUAGGUGGCAAGCGUUAUCCGGAUUUACUGGGUGUAAAGGGCGUGUAGGCGGGACUGCAAGUCAGAUGUGAAAACUAUGGGCUCAACCCAUAGCCUGCAUUUGAAACUGUAGUUCUUGAGUGCUGGAGAGGCAAUCGGAAUUCCGUGUGUAGCGGUGAAAUGCAUAGAUAUACGGAGGAACACCAGUGGCGAAGGCGGAUUGCUGGACAGUAACUGACGCUGAGGCGCGAAAGCGUGGGGAGCAAAC
rnacentral:rRNA from 1 species